AUGAGAACAGCUGGCACUAGUUGCUACGUGAGCUCAGCCUGGGGCGAGUGGAGUGCACCUGUAGAGUUUGGAAAUGAAGAAAUAAUUUCUUCUUCAGUAUGGAUUUUAAUUGUGGUAGCAAUUGCGACACUCUUGGUGGCAAUCACUGCAAUUUUGUUCUGCAAAAGGACUGGCUGUUGGAAAGCAGCAUUUCCAGAAAUCCCAGAGCCAAAAAAUGCAUUUCAUAGACUACCUGAUACAAAUCCAGAGCUGAUGGGGAGCAAAAUUCAGUCACUGACAUCUGAAAAUGAAGAGAUAAUAUUAGUUGUUGAUGCAGUGAAAUAACCAAAAAAUCCCAAGGAAUUUGAAAAUGCAUUUCUUACCUCAGGCAUCUGUAUAUUCUUGUGAAAAGUCUGGAAAUAGUUUUCCUUCACUUUCCUCCUUUUCUUGGUAAAAAAAAUAGCAGUGCAGCCAAGAGAGAAUGAUACGUCACAUGUAAUUUUUUUAAAUGUCAUUGUAUUUGCUUUUAAUUUUGGCUAAUUUUAACUUUUUAGGUAACAUAUUUAUGGGAUACCUUCUAUUUUGUGAAUAUGAUUGAAAUAUUUCAGUCAAGAAAUAACAAUGUUACAAAGCAAAAGUGAUAUUUUUAAUUUAAGGAAAUAUAGUGCAUUUGUAUGAUAUAAAAAAGAAUACAAAUUAAUUUAAUGAGACAAAUAAAAAUUAAAAAAAAAUUUCUUGUGCCUGAAUG
rnacentral:lncRNA from 1 species